rnacentral:rRNA from 1 species
AAUGAACGCUGGCGGCAGGCCUAACACAUGCAAGUCGAACGGAUCCUUCGGGAUUAGUGGCGGACGGGUGAGUAACGCGUGGGAACAUAACCAAAGGUACGGAAUCGCCUCGGGAAACUGGGAGUAAUAACGUAUGUGCCCGAAAGAGGAAAGAUUUAUCGCCUUUGGAUUGGCCCGCGUUGGAUUAGGUAGUUGGUGGGGUAAUGGCCUACCAAGCCGACGAGCCAUAGCUGGCUUAAGAGGAUGAACAGCCACACUGGGACUGAGACACGGCCCAGACUCCUACGGGAGGCAGCAGUGGGGAAUCUUAGACAAUGGGGGAAACCCUGAUCUAGCCAUGCCGCGUGAUCGAUGAAGGCCUUAGGGUUGUAAAGAUCUUUCAGGUGGGAAGAUAAUGACUGUACCACCAGAAGAAGCCCCGGCUAACUCCGUGCCAGCAGCCGCCGUAA